rnacentral:rRNA from 1 species
UACGUAGGAGACAAGCGUUGUCCGGAAUUACUGGGUGUAAAGCGCGUGUAGGCGGUAGGCCAAGUCUGCUGUGAAAUCGCCCGGCUCAACUGGGCGCGGUCGGUGGAAACUGGUCAACUGGAGGACGGUAGAGGCGAGUGGAAUUCCCGGUGUAGUGGUGAAAUGCGUAGAGAUCGGGAGGAACACCAGUGGCGAAGGCGACACACUGGCCCGUAACUGACGCUGAGGUGCGAAAGCGUGGGGAGCAAACAGG